GACGAACCGUGCGAACGUUAUUCGGAAUCACUGGGCUUAAAGGGCGCGCAGGCGGCUGCUCAAGUCAGGCGUGAAAGGCCUGGGCUCAACCCGGGAAUUGCGCUUGAGACUGGGCUGGCUUGAGUGCGGGAGAGGAUGGUGGAAUUCCCAGUGUAGAGGUGAAAUUCGUAGAUAUUGGGAAGAACACCGGUGGCGAAGGCGGCCAUCUGGACCGCAACUGACGCUGAGGCGCG
rnacentral:rRNA from 1 species